CUUUUUUGGGGUUUUAUUGGGGUAAAUGCUAAACUUUGAUUUGGUAGGGGCAGGAGAUCUCUCUGGAAGCCACCAGGGAGCCUGUUUCCCCUCUGACAACUCUGAGGGUGUGGGACUUUUGGUACCGUUUGCUCCUCACUGCAUUUCUGCUCCAUCCAAGCAGGGAGAAGUCUGGGGCCUUGCACUCUUUAAUAAGGUCUUUUCUACCUGCCCUUGGAUUUGAGGGUCUUUCCACAGGUGAGCAGGAAAAGCAAUUUCAGAUAUCCCAGGAGGGCACCUCAGGACAUCCAUAGCCUCUACCUCCUGCAGGGAAGCUCCUCUCUCUGGUGCAGUAGGAUGUAUUUGGCUGUCCAGGAAGAAGUGGGUCACAGAGCUGUUUCUUGACCCAUCCAAAACCCAGACAAAGGGUUGUGCAGAACCAUGCCAUGGCCCAGCUAUGCUGGGAAGCAAGAGCUGCAGCAGCUCUGCAUUGGCUCUACACUGGGGUGGGGGUUCAUCUUCUCCCGGAGCACAGUCACCGAGAAGUUCCUAGAGUGAAAAAAAUUUGAGAUUUAACUGGAUUUAGAAUAAAGUAAAAUAAAACUACACUAUUGAAACUCUGUUGAUGUUAGUGAAAAUCCUUGUGUCUUAGAAAAUCAGAUCUAAAGUGCUGAGACUGCUGGCAGAUACUUUCCACACACUGUUUGUGUGUGCAGUGGAGAAAAGUGCUUGUUUGGUGCUGAUUGCAGACUAUGGAAUAAGAGCAAUUUCUCAUCCCACCUCCACAGAAGCUAUUUAAAUAGUUCUACACCCACUUUGAAAGAUGCUCAGUUAGAAAGGAGUAAAUCUGGAAGUUAUUACUCCUCAAAGAAAGAAACGCCAAUAAACAGGCUCUGCUAAGGCUGCCGGUGCUCUCGGGGACAGGAGCCUUCCCCCCGCCAGGCUGCCUCUGCAGUGGACAGUUAUUAUUAGGCAGCCUGCAGAGCAAACACGCGCUGCGGGAAAGAGCCCUUGGAGCUGACCCUUUGUCCCACUGAGGCUCGGGGCCAAAGCCCAGCUGGCUACAUGCAGGCUCCUCGCAGGCUGCACGAGCCCCCAUGUGCUCUCCAUGCAGCACAGGAGCGAAGGGAACAACCAGCAAAACCCAAGGAUGUGCCAGGAGAAGCAAGAGGAAGAGCGCUAAUUAAAAAAGCCCUUAUGAAACACUGGGGACAGAAUGGUGUCAUGUGCACUCAUUCAAUGCCUCCCUUUCCCUUCCUUGGGCAUUGCUGGCCACAAACUCACUCACAAAGUGAAAGUGUUUGCCAGCUCUUUCCCAAAACUGGAGGUGGAGAUUUAACCCAUGCAGGGUUAAAUCUGGGAGGAUGCUGCCCACCACCCAGCCGCUCUCCUGCUGCCCAUGUUUCCCUGUGCUAGACCUCCUGCCUGGCAGGACAGGGACGGAAGAGGCCCUUCCUCAGAGCAGUUGUUGGCCAAGUCUCUUCCUGGGGGAUAUGGAGGGAAAAGUUAAACUGAGGUGGGGAAUUGGGUCAGCUCUGUGCAGGGAGAGCCAGGUGGGACCCAGGAACCUUACUGCUGGUCACCCCCAGGUCACCUCUGUGGGACUCAGAUUCAGUCAAAGGAAAGAAACCGUGAGUUUCUAGCCAGGUAAAAAGCCUGGGAAAGAGCUGGGAAAGAAUGUAAAUAAUUCUUUAUCUCUCUUGUUCUCACAUUGUUUAUAGUUAAGUCCUAUCACUGUGCGUCAAGCACUCUGCACCAAUGGUGUAAGUUGUUUUCACUUCAGAACCAAUGGAUUUGGUCUUUGCGAAGCUCUGUAUAAAAGAGCAGUGUAUUUUGAAUAAAUCGAAGUUUUACCCUCAGCAGCCUUCUGAGUGAGUCUUCUCAUUCCCGUCCUGUCUUGACAGCGACAACCUCCAGUCCUGGUCACACCUGAGAGCAGGCAUUCAGGCAGUCCAGGAGCUUUCCCACCCCCACCACUCUAGAUGUUCAUGGAUUUAAGCUGUUUCCAAAUUAGCUUGGACCCAAAGAGAGACUUUUAUGAAUUGAUGCAUUCAAAAUAGCCACAGAGCACUAAAUCCUCAAAUGAAUCUCAUACAAUGCUACUGUCACACCCAGCUGCUUGUACUCAGACCCUCAGCACUGCCAUCCUGUUCUGUAACCAACACACCAGGGUCCCGAACCUAUAGCAAGUUUUAGGCAAUGUCUUGUAUGUCUCUGGCUUUUGUCCAGCAGAGUUCUGCUUUGAGAUUAAGAUCUUAGUAUUUAUAAGCCUCUGGUUUUACUAUCUGUGUAAUAUUCUGGUAAAUUAGGUGCCUGCACUGCUAUCCCUCCAACACACCUGAAAAUCUCACCUUCUUAACAAAGGGCAGUUACAUUUUUCCUUAAAAAUAAACUAAUUAUAAAAUCACUGUGAUUUUCUCACAUUUAAACAGCCAAUUAUUUCUGAGGAUGUGAGAAACUGAGAAACAGCUGUUGCAAUGUUGAAGCUCAAACAGUUACAUCUCUGCUAUUUUAAUGGGUAAGAGUCAAUACUUUUAUUCCCAUGUUAUAUUACCAAGACAUGAUAAGCAACCAUGGCAUUAGUAUAAAUUUGUGGAGCAAAGAUCACUUCAAUUUGCCCCAAUGAGGAAUAAUUUUAACAGAAAAUUAGCACUCCACAAACAACUAUUUUUUGUUCCCUCUCUCCCUUUUUUUUCCCCUCUUCAUUUUUUGAUAAAGCACCACAACCCUGGGUAAGGGCAGCUUGAAGGCAGAGAUAGUUUUUAAGGCAGCCUUAACUCUUUCCAGACGGGGGGGGAGUGGACUUCAAAAAAACGCUUUUCAGAGUUUAACUUGGUGUGGUUGACCACUGAAUAAAGGGAGAGCACUGACUUUGCCUCUCACCAGAAGGUGAACAAAUAUGAAAUAGGAGUCAGCUCCUCUCCCACGGCCUUCAAGUGAGGACUUCUGCUAAAAGCUUUGCUCUUCAAUCUUCGUAUGAUCACCCAAACCAAAGUGGCAUCUGCAGGUACUUGGCAUCUGUAGAAAUCAGGCUUAUAAAUACAGAGCCAAGCCUGGAGCUCCAGGCCACUCGUUAUGCAAGGCUUUGCUUUAAUCUUUGGAAAUACUUGUUGCACUUAGCCAGGGGAAAGCAUGUGUGCGGCACAAAGAAUGGUGAUUUGAGCUAAGCAUGGAACAGAGUAACAAUUUUUAAUUGCACAUGUGUCUGUCAACAAGCCCUUUCAAACAUUUUAGCUCCAUUGUAUUUUUAUCCUUUUUCCCCUAGGAUCAUGACACACUUGACAGUGGUGAUAAACCAGCUUUCAUGCUGUUCUAUUAGCCAAGAAAUUAUUAUCAGUCCCAUUUAGCUGGAAAUGUGAGACCCACAGGUAGUCUAAUACAGUGAUUACCCCAGGUAGCUACCUAUAACGUGCCAGUCUCAGCAGGAGAGUCUCAUUCCACCCCUCAGAAAGGAUGCUCUCCUGGAAAUUGUGAGGGUGAUUUUAGGUCUCCUACUAGGGCAAACACUUUAAGCAUGGUGUUACCAGAUCAAAAAAAAAAAAAAAAAAAAAAA
ensembl:lncRNA